rnacentral:lncRNA from 1 species
AUGGGCAACCCUGGGCACAGCUGGAAUCCCAGCCUGCUGCUGGAGCAAACCGUGCCAGCUGAGGAUGACCAUGGCAAGGAAUCCAAAUGAUGAUUCCCCAUCCUUGCAGACCUCCCUCAGCCCCCAACCAUGCAAAUAAAUGGUCUCCGGCUCUUUGGACUUUGAUGGUGAGCUCUUUCUCCUGAUGCAGCAUCUCACUCCUUUCCAUUCUGCAGUUCACUCUCAAGGCCAUAAUGACUUGAACACUGGCUGUCUAGAAACAGAGAGGCGGGCAGCGGCAGACAGGAACAGAGGUGGAGCAUCUUCCUCCAUCAGGAGCUGCACCUCGGAAGUGUCCUUAGAUGUGGCUUGGAAUUGGGAUCCUUCCAUUCCCCUCAGGAGAGUCAGCCAAAAAUAUCAACAGCCACAAUUUAUUGGACGCCUUCAGGAAAAAUGUCAAAGCCAGGCAUUCGUCCAAAGUGAGUGGUCCUGCUUCACGUCCCGGCACUCCUUGUCCCCUUUCCACCAGCUGACAGCAGGUGCUCCCCAGAAUGAGGCGGGUGAGGAGGGUUCACCAUUGCUCUCCACCUCUCAACACAAAAGAUGAUUCCACCUGUACCAAUUAUCCUGGGGGUUUGUGGUCUGCAACCAGCCCUUUGGUGCCAAUUUUUCUAUUAGGCAGGACCCUUUGGAUGCAAGCAGAACAUAGCAAAGCAAAACCAAGACAAAAGCAAACGCAAAAACAAAACGAAUGAAAAAUCUUUACAAAUCUCGCUAUCUCAAGAGUAGAGGCAUAUAUUUGAGUGAUCCAGAGAGAAAGCUCACAGAAUUAGAGAAAUCCAUGGGUGUGUGUGUGCGUGCACAUUUUUUAAAAACAGGCUUAGGGAAGACCAGGGACCCAGAAAGCCUCGGGUCUCUCAGCGGUAGGGAACCAGCUACUCUACAGGCCUCAGCUCCACUGCCUGCUGCCUCCAAGGGUUUUCUUUCAGGUACUCCAAUUUCCAGGGGAGAGACACGGAUGGGCCCCAGGGGACGUUUGAGACGUUGG